rnacentral:rRNA from 1 species
UACAGGGGGUGCAAACGUUGCUCGGAAUUAUUGGGCGUAAAGCGCGCGUAGGCGGCUAUCUAAGUCGGAUGUGAAAGCCCCUGGCUUAACUGGGGAAGUGCACCCGAAACUGGGUAGCUAGAGUGCAAAAGAGGGUCGCGGAAUUCCCGGUGUAGAGGUGAAAUUCGUAGAUAUCGGGAGGAACACCGGUGGCGAAGGCGGCGACCUGGGUUGACACUGACGCUGAGGCGCGAAAGCGUGGGGAGCGAACAGG